rnacentral:lncRNA from 13 species
GUUCACAUGGUAAUUUCACAAACACCAACUCCCUUGUUUCCUAACAUUUAGAGGUACGUGGUUCAGGCGACAGAUUUUAGAAUGAGACAUGGCAGCGUUGUAAGCACAGUUACCGUGUUUAGCAGGUGCUGGUCGGGACGCCGGCAGCGCUGAGGAAGGAACCUCCAGCCACAAGCCACAAGCCACAAGCCAGCGCCAUGCCCCGCUCCUGAGUCCUUCAUCUGGGGUUGCACAUCCAGGCCCAGAGGAAUUGCCUUGAAGUACGGGGACCAGGACAUAGAGAAGGACCUGGAAUGGAAGCUGAGGACUUUUGUCAUGAGCAGUGUCGGGCUGGAAAGGUGCUGGAUCUUCUGCAGUUGUUCAACAGGAAAAGGGCUAAGGGAAAAUGUGUGGGCAACUGUGAAGCUCGGAGGCCGUCCUGGAGGCUGUGUGAGAGCAACAGGCGCCUGAAAGAAGUGGCCUCAGGCACGUUGGGAGGUGGGGCGCUGAGAAGUAAAACCCAAUCCCAGUGCGGCUGUGUGCUCUCCUCCUGUUUCUCUUU